rnacentral:rRNA from 1 species
CCUACGGGAGGCAGCAGUGGGGAAUAUUGCACAAUGGGGGAAACCCUGAUGCAGCGACGCCGCGUGAGUGAAGAAGUAUUUCGGUACGUAAAGCUCUAUCAGCAGGGAAGAAAAUGACGGUACCUGACUAAGAAGCCCCGGCUAACUACGUGCCAGCAGCCGCGGUAAUACGUAGGGGGCAAGCGUUAUCCGGAUUUACUGGGUGUAAAGGGAGCGUAGACGGCAGCGCAAGUCUGGAGUGAAAUCCCAUGGCUUAACCAUGGAACUGCUUUGGAAACUGUGCAGCUAGAGUGCAGGAGAGGUAAGCGGAAUUCCUAGGGUAGCGGUGAAAUGCGUAGAUAUUAGGAGGAACACCAGUGGCGAAGGCGGCUUACUGGACUGUAACUGACGUUGAGGCUCGAAAGCGUGGGGAGCAAACAGGAUUAGAUACCCGGGUAGUC